UAGCUCAGUGGUAGAGCACUUGGCUAGCAUGCAUGAGGUCCUGGGUUCAAUCCCUAG
rnacentral:tRNA from 1 species